UACGUAGGGCGCAAGCGUUAUCCGGAAUUAUUGGGCGUAAAGAGCUCGUAGGCGGUUUGUCGCGUCUGCCGUGAAAGUCCGGGGCUCAACUCCGGAUCUGCGGUGGGUACGGGCAGACUAGAGUGAUGUAGGGAGACUGGAAUUCCUGGUGUAGCGGUGAAAUGCGCAGAUAUCAGGAGGAACACCGGUGGCGAAGGCGGGUCUCUGGCCGAUACUGACGCUGAGGAGCGAAAGCGUGGGAGCGAACAGG
rnacentral:rRNA from 1 species